rnacentral:tRNA from 1 species
GGCCUCGUGGCCUAAUGGCUAGGGCGCUAGAUUUCGGUGCUCCCAGCUGAUUCUCUAGAGAUUGUCGGUUCGAGUCCGGCCGAGGUCG